rnacentral:rRNA from 1 species
UACGAAGGGGGCUAGCGUUGCUCGGAAUUACUGGGCGUAAAGCGCACGUAGGCGGCUUUGUAAGUUAGAGGUGAAAGCCCGGAGCUCAACUCCGGAAUUGCCUUUAAGACUGCAUCGCUAGAAUUGUGGAGAGGUAAGUGGAAUUCCGAGUGUAGAGGUGAAAUUCGUAGAUAUUCGGAAGAACACCAGUGGCGAAGGCGACUUACUGGACACAUAUUGACGCUGAGGUGGCGAAAAGCGUGGGGAGCAAACAAGGAUUAGAA